GACGAACGCUGGCGGCGCGCCUAAUACAUGCAAGUCGAACGGGCACACUUCGGUGUGUCAGUGGCGGACGGGUGAGUAACACGUGGGUGACCUGCCCCGCAGUACGGAAUAACCCUGGGAAACCAGGGCUAAUACCGCAUAUGCUUAGUGCUUCGCUGCAUUAAGUAAAGACUUCUCGCUGCGGGAGGGGCUUGCGGCGGAUUAGCUAGUCGGUGGGGUAAUGGCCACCGAGGCGACGAUCCGUAGCUGGUCUGAGAGGACGACCAGCCACACUGGGA
rnacentral:rRNA from 1 species